rnacentral:rRNA from 1 species
AUCGUGAAACCGCGAAUGGCUCAUUACAACAGCUAUAGUUCACUGGAUAUAACCCAGUUACAUGGAUAACUGUGGUAAUUCUACAGCUAAUACACGCUUCAAAACCCUGACUUUACGGAAGGGUGCAUUAAAGUUGUUGCGGUAAAAGCUCGUAGUUGAACCCAAGUGAAAUUGAACUAUUUAGCUGAUCGCACGGUCUAAGAACCGGCGACAUAUCCUUCAAACAUCUGCCUUAUCAACUGUCGAUGGUAGAUUAUGCGCCUACCAUGGUUGUAACGGGUAACGGAGAAUCAGGGUUUGAUUCCGGAGAGGGAGCCUGAGAAAUGGCUACCACAUCCAAGGAAGGCAGCAGGCACGCAAAUUACCCACUCCCGGCAUUUUGUGGUAGUGACGAAAAAUAACAAGCUGGUCUCUAUGAGUUCCGGCAUUGUAAUGGGAACAACCCAAAUCAUUUAUCGAGGAUCUAUUGGAGGGCAAGUCUGGUGCCAGCAGCCGCGGUAAUUCCAGCUCCAAUAGCGUAUAUUAAAGUUGUUGC